rnacentral:RNase_P_RNA from 1 species
UGAGUGUGAAAGAUAAUCGCGGCUAUCCUGUUGGGUAGACGAGGAAAGUCCGAGCUCCAUAGGGCAGAAUGCCGGUUAACGUCCGGCGAGGGUGACCUCAGGGAAAGUGCCACAGAAAUGUGAACCGCCGGCUUUAAGCCGGUAAGGGUGGAACGGUGCGGUAAGAGCGCACCAGCAGUCGAGUAAUCGGUUGGCUAGGUAAACCCCAUUCGGAGCAAGACCAAAUAGGGAAGGGAUGAAGCUGCCCGCUGAUCCUUCCGGGUUGCGUCGCUUGAGCUUCCAGGUAACUGAAAGCCUAGAUAAAUGAUUAUCACCGCUUUGCGGAACAGAACUCGGCUUAAUGAGCACUCAUAUU